GUUUGAUCCUGGCUCAGGAUGAACGCUGGCGGCGUGCCUAAUACAUGCAAGUCGAACGCUUCACUUCGGUGAAGAGUGGCGAACGGGUGAGUAAUACAUAAGUAACCUGGCAUCUACAGGGGGAUAACUGAUGGAAACGUCAGCUAAGACCGCAUAGGUGUAGAGAUCGCAUGAACUCUAUAUGAAAAGUGCUACGGGACUGGUAGAUGAUGGACUUAUGGCGCAUUAGCUGGUUGGUAGGGUAACGGCCUACCAAGGCGACGAUGCGUAGCCGACCUGAGAGGGUGACCGGCCACACUGGGACUGAGACACGGCCCAGACUCCUACGGGAGGCAGCAGUAGGGAAUUUUCGGCAAUGGGGGAAACCCUGACCGAGCAACGCCGCGUGAAGGAAGAAGUAAUUCGUUAUGUAAACUUCUGUCAUAGAGGAAGAACGGUGGAUAUAGGGAAUGAUAUCCAAGUGACGGUACUCUAUAAGAAAGCCACGGCUAACUACGUGCCAGCAGCCGCGGUAAUACGUAGGUGGCGAGCGUUAUCCGGAAUUAUUGGGCGUAAAGAGGGAGCAGGCGGCACUAAGGGUCUGUGGUGAAAGAUCGAAGCUUAACUUCGGUAAGCCAUGGAAACCGUAGAGCUAGAGUGUGUGAGAGGAUCGUGGAAUUCCAUGUGUAGCGGUGAAAUGCGUAGAUAUAUGGAGGAACACCAGUGGCGAAGGCGACGAUCUGGCGCAUAACUGACGCUCAGUCCCGAAAGCGUGGGGAGCAAAUAGGAUUAGAUACCCUAGUAGUCCACGCCGUAAACGAUGAGUACUAAGUGUUGGGUGUCAAAGCUCAGUGCUGCAGUUAACGCAAUAAGUACUCCGCCUGAGUAGUACGUUCGCAAGAAUGAAACUCAAAGGAAUUGACGGGGG
rnacentral:rRNA from 1 species